rnacentral:rRNA from 1 species
GAUGAACGCUAGCGGCAGGCCUAAUACAUGCAAGACGAACGGUAAGUUGAGUAGCAAUACUUAGCCAAGAGUGUCGUACGGGUGCGUAACACGUAUGCAACCUACCCUAUACAGGAGGAUAGCCUAGGGAAACCUGGAUUAACCCUUCAUAGUAUUAUUGGAUGGCAUCAUUUGAUAAUUAAAACUGAGGUGGUAUAGGAUGGGCAUGCGUCUGAUUAGUUAGUUGGCGGGGUAAUGGCCCACCAAGACGAUGAUCAGUAGGGGUUCUGAGAGGAAGAUCCCCCACACUGGCACUGAGAUACGGGCCAGACUCCUACGGGAGGCAGCAGUAGGGAAUAUUGGUCAAUGGAUGCAAGUCUGAACCAGCCAUGCCGCGUGCAGGAAGAAGGCCUUCUGGGUUGUAAACUGCUUUUGCCAGGGGAUAAAAUUUCCAUGCGUGGAAAACUGAAGGUACCUGGUGAAUAAGCCACGGCUAAACUACGUGCCAGCAGCCG